GACGAACGCUGGCGGCGUGCUUAACACAUGCAAGUCGAACGGAAAGGCCCUGCUUUUGUGGGGUGCUCGAGUGGCGAACGGGUGAGUAACACGUGAGUAACCUGCCCUUGACUUUGGGAUAACUUCAGGAAACUGGGGCUAAUACCGGAUAGGAGCUCCUGCUGCAUGGUGGGGGUUGGAAAGUUUCGGCGGUUGGGGAUGGACUCGCGGCUUAUCAGCUUGUUGGUGGGGUAGUGGCUUACCAAGGCUUUGACGGGUAGCCGGCCUGAGAGGGUGACCGGCCACAUUGGGACUGAGAUACGGCCCAGACUCCUACGGGAGGCAGCAGUGGGGAAUAUUGCACAAUGGGCGGAAGCCUGAUGCAGCAACGCCGCGUGCUGGAUGACGGCCUUCGGGUUGUAAACCGCUUUCGCCUGUGCCGAAGCGUGAGUGACGGUAAUGGGUAAAGAAGCACCGGCUAACUACGUG
rnacentral:rRNA from 1 species